GUCUUCGUGGGGUAUUGAGCGCACUCCCAUUCAAAUUGGGUGAAAUAGUGAAUGAUGGGAGAGUUGGUGGUUCGACCCCACCCGAAGACA